rnacentral:rRNA from 1 species
GACGAACGUUGGCGGCGUGCUUAAUACAUGCAAGUCAACUGAAGCAGUGGUAGCAAUAUCGCUGUGGAGGCGGCGCACGGGUGAGUAACACGUAGGUAAUCUGCCUUCAGGUCUGGCAUAACUCCGGGAAACCGGGGCUAAUAGCAGAUGAUGCAGCGGCUCGACAUCGAGACAGUUGUUAAAGCUAUGGCGCCUGAAGAUGAGCCUGCGUCUGAUUAGCUAGUUGGCGGGGUAACGGCCCACCAAGGCAACGAUCAGUAGCUGGUCUGAGAGGAUGAUCAGCCACACUGGAACUGAGACACGGUCCAGACUCCUACGGGAGGCAGCAGUAAGGAAUAUUGCUCAAUGGGAGAAAUCCUGAAGCAGCAACGCCGCGUGAGGGACGAAGGGCUUUUGCUUGUAAACCUCUGUAGUGAGAGAAAAAAAUCCCAAUCUUUGGGACAUGAUGGUAUCUCAAAAGUAAGCCCCGGCUAACUACGUG